GGAUUUUCUGGCGGAACCGGUUCCUACCGGAGUCCCAUCGGCCGUUCAAAAAUGCGUGGUGAUUCGGAAAAAUAUAACCUGUAUAAUGACUUGUUUGGCUGCCGAUCUGUGAGACAGAAAAGCGGCGGCGACCGGCGAGGCGGGACCUUCAGCGAGGCGGCGAGGCCGAGUGCAACCUUCAGCGAGGCUGCGGCCGGAACGGUGGCGCCGUGCCUGAGCAUGAGGUUGCUCUCGAGCUCUGGCUCCUCUCCCGCCCCCUCCUACCCGCAGUGCCUCGACCUCCUCGACGAGAGCCGCCGGAGGAAGACGAUGCUUUGGCCGCCACCAUGUUCAUGUGUAGGCUAAGUUUGGGGGUUUUUUUGAGCUUUCAAUUUGAUGAGGAUGCACAUCUGAGUGAUUUUGGUGGUGGCUUUUUUUGGCCCGAUCUGGAUUUUAUUCUUCUAUUUGUGUCAAAUGUAUCGCAUCCAAUUCCUGCUCUGUUUUUUUUAUUCUCAAACUUUUUUGUAUAUAUAAUGGCACAGAUUGAGA